UGGUUGGAGCUCCCUUUGAGUCGACAGGGAAGCAGCAGACUGGCGAUGUGUUCAGGUGUCCUCUGGACAACAGAAACUCUGCAAACUGCAGCAGACUGAAUCUGGGGAAACUUUCUCUGGACAACGUGUCGGAGAGGAAAGACAAGAUGAGGCUGGGGAUGACGCUGACCUCCAACCCAAAAGACAGCAGCUUUGUGACCUGUGGUCCGCUCUGGUCUCAUGAAUGUGGAAGCUCCCUGUACAGCACAGGCAUCUGUUCCAGAGUCAGCCGAAACUUCAGACUGUCCCACACCAUCGCACCCGCCCUGCAGAGUAAUCCAUCCAUCCAUCCAUCCUUUUGUCCAUCCAUCCAUCCUCCA